rnacentral:miRNA from 1 species
UGAGGCAGGAGAAUUGCUUGAACCCAGGAGGUGGAGGCUGCAGUGAGCCGAGAUCGGACCACUGCACUCCAGCCUGGGCGACACAGCGAGACUCCA